rnacentral:rRNA from 1 species
CCAGCAGCCGCGGUAACUCCAGCUCCAAUAGCGUAUAUUAAAGUUGCUGCAGUUAAAAAGCUCGUAGUUGGAUCUCGGUACCACUGUUGCUCGUCAGUCCUUUGGCAGGUGGCUAUGCCGCACGCACGCACACACGCACGCAUGGGUACGUAUUGCACGGCCUGUGUUGCUGCUGUUGUUGUUGUUGUUGUUGCUAUGGCUACUCUACUCGAGUUGGCGGUAUGACAGUGUCGCCUUUCAGCCAUGUCUGUGGUGAAAUACCCUCAGGUGCAGGCUAGUGUCGGAUGGUGCCCAGCACUAGUUGGGUCCGUCGGCUCGUCUGCAUGCCUCUAGAUGCCCUUCAAAAGGUGUCUGUGGGCGGAUGGCACGUUUACUUUGAACAAAUUUGAGUGCUCAAACCAGGCCGAUGUUGCCUGAAAAGUUUUGCAUGGAAUAAUGGAAUAGGACUUCGGUUCUAUUUCGUUGGUUUUCGGAUCCGAAGUAAUGAUCAAAAGAGACAGGCGGGGG